rnacentral:snoRNA from 1 species
ACUGGUCCGGUGAUGUAACACUUUCGGAUGUAAACCUUUUAACCACCGAGAGCGCAAAACCGUGUGGAUAUCUUCCGUUGCCUUCCUUCUGAGACUCGAC